rnacentral:rRNA from 1 species
GAUGAACGCUGGCGGCGUGCCUAAUACAUGCAAGUCGAGCGGAAAGGCCUCUUCGGAGGUACUCGAGCGGCGGACGGCUGAGUAACGCGUAAGAACGUACCCCAAACUGAGGGAUAACUGCUCGAAAGAGUAGCUAAUACCGCAUGUGCUCUACGGAGUAAAGCUUCGGCGGUUUGGGAACGGCCUGCGUAAGAUUAGCUUGUUGGUAAGGUAAUGGCUUACCAAGGCGACGAUCUUUAGCUGGUCUGAGAGGAUGAUCAGCCAGACUGGGACUGAGACACGGCCCAGACUCCUACGGGAGGCAGCAGUAGGGAAUUUUCCACAAUGGGCGAAAGCCUGAUGGAGCAACGCCGCGUGCAGGAUGAAUGCCUUCGGGUUGUAAACUGCUUUUAUAAGUGAAAAAUAUGACGGUAACUUAUGAAUAAGGAUCGGCUAACUCCGUGCCAGCAGCCGCCGUAA